rnacentral:rRNA from 1 species
AGUGAACGCUGGCGGUAGGCCUAACACAUGCAAGUCGAACGGCAGCACAGUAAGAGCUUGCUCUUACGGGUGGCGAGUGUCGGACGGGUGAGGAUUACACCGGAAUCUACUUUUUCGUUGGGGAUAACGUAGGGAACCUUCCGCUAAUACCGCAUACGACCUACGGGGAAAAGCAGGGGAUCUUCGAACCUUGUGCGAUUGAAUGAGCCGAGGUCGGCUUAGCUAGUUGGCGGGGUAAAGGCCCACCAAGGCGACGCUCCGUAGCUGGUCUGAGAGGAUGUUCAGACAGACUGGAAGAGAGACAGGGUACAGACUCCGACGGGAAGAAGCAGUGGAGAAUAUUAGACAAGGGAGGCAAGGGUGAUCCAGCCAUACCGCGUGAGUGAAGAAGGACUUAGGGUUGUAAAGCGCUGUUGUUGGGAAAGAAAAGAAGCAGGUUAAUACGCGGCUGUAAUGACGGUACCAAAAGAAUAAGCACCGGCUAACUUCGUG